rnacentral:rRNA from 1 species
AUUAGAGUUUGAUCCUGGCUCAGGACGAACGCUGGCGGCGUGCCUAAUACAUGCAAGUCGAGCGAGCCGAACUAAUUGAUUACCUUCGGGUAUGAAGUUAGGGAAGCGAGCGGCGGAUGGGUGAGUAACACGUGGGUAACCUACCCUAUAGUCUGGGAUACCACUUGGAAACAGGUGCUAAUACCGGAUAAAAGGAGAGAUCACAUGAUUUCUUUUUGAAAGGCGGCGUAAGCUGUCGCUAAAGGAUGGACCUGCGGUGCAUUAGCUAGUUGGUAAGGUAACGGCUUACCAAGGCAACGAUGCAUAGCCGAGUUGAGAGACUGAUCGGCCACAUUGGGACUGAGACACGGCCCAAACUCCUACGGGAGGCAGCAGUAGGGAAUCUUCCACAAUGGACGCAAGUCUGAUGGAGCAACGCCGCGUGAGUGAAGAAGGUUUUCGGAUCGUAAAGCUCUGUUGUUGGUGAAGAAAGAUAGUGAGAGUAACUGCUCAUUAUUUGCCGGUAAUCAACCAGAAAGUCACGGCUAGCUACGUGCCAGCAGCCGCGGUAAUACGUAGGUGGCAAGCGUUGUCCGGAUUUAUUGGGCGUAAAGCGAGCGCAGGCGGAAAGAUAAGUCAGAUGUGAAAGCCCUCGGCUUAACCGAGGAAUAGCAUCGGAAACUGUCUUUCUUGAGUGCAGAAGAGGAGAGUGGAACUCCAUGUGUAGCGGUGGAA